rnacentral:rRNA from 1 species
GAUGAACGCUAGCUACAGGCUUAACACAUGCAAGUCGCGGGGCAGCAUGGGGGUUGCUUGCAAUCCCCGAUGGCGACCGGCGCACGGGUGAGUAACGCGUAUCCAACCUGCCCUUCACCACGGGAUAACCCGGCGAAAGUCGGACUAAUACCGUAUGUUGUCCAUUGACGGCAUCCGAUUUGGACGAAAGGUGUGGCGGUGAAGGAUGGGGAUGCGUCCGAUUAGCUGGACGGCGGGGUGACGGCCCACCGUGGCGACGAUCGGUAGGGGUUCUGGGAGGAAGGUCCCCCACCCUGGAACUGAGACACGGUCCAGACUCCUGCGGGAGGCAGCAGUGUGGGAUAUUGGUCAAUGGGCGUAAGCCUGAACCAGCCAAGUAGCGUGCAGGAUGACGGCCCUAUGGGUUGUAAACUGCUUUUAUGCGGGGAUAAAGUGGCCCACGUGUGGGUUUUUGCAGGUACCGCAUGAAUAAGGCCCGGCUCUUUCCG